rnacentral:rRNA from 1 species
AGUCAGAUGUGGAUAUGAGUGAAGUAUGGGAGUGAGAAUGUUGGCAGGCGUAGCGAGAUGUGGGUGAGAAUCCCACAGGCCGUAAACCCAAGGUUUCCAGGGGAAGGUUCGUCCGCCCUGGGUUAGUCGGGACCUAAGCUGAGGCCGAAAGGCGUAGGUGAUGGACAACAGGUUGAUAUUCCUGUACUACCGAUAACCGUUUGAGAGAAGGGAUGACACAGUAGGAUAAGCUAAGCACACUGUUGGUUAUGUGUGCCCAAGCAUUGAGGCAGUCAAAGUAGGCAAAUCCGCUUUGAUAAUGCUGGGAUGUGAUGGGGAGCGAAAUUUAGUAGCGAAGUAGCUGAUUUCACACUGUCAAGAAAAGUCUCUAUCGAGGUUAAAGGUACCCGUACCGCAAACCGACACAGGUGGGUGAGGAGAGUAUCCUAAGGCCAGCGAGAGAACUGUUGUUAAGGAACUCGGCAAAAUGACCCCGUAACUUAGGGAUAAGGGGUGCCACCAUCAGGUGGCCGCAGAGAAUAGGCCCAAGCGACUGUUUACCAAAAACAUAGGUUUCUGCUAAGUCGCAAGACGAUGUAUAGGAGCUGACGCCUGCCCGGUGCUGGAAGGUUAAGGGGAUCUGUUAGAG